rnacentral:rRNA from 1 species
CAGCAGUGGGGAAUAUUGCACAAUGGGCGCAAGCCUGAUGCAGCCAUGCCGCGUGUAUGAAGAAGGCCUUUGGGUUGUAAAGUACUUUCAGUCGGGAGGAAGAUAUUCGAGUUAAUAUCUUUAAUAUUUGACGAUACCGACAUAAGAAGCACCGGCUAACUCUGUGCCAGCAGCCGCGGUAAUACGGAGGGUGCGAGCGUUAAUCGGAAUUACUGGGCGUAAAGGGCACGCAGGCGGUUAAUUAAGUUGGAUGUGAAAUCCCCGGGCUUAACCUUGGAAUGGCAUUCAAAACUAAUUGACUAGAGUUUUGUAGAGGGAGGUAGAAUUCCAUGUGUAGCGGUGAAAUGUGUAGAGAUAUGGAGGAAUACCAGUGGCGAAGGCGGCCUCCUGGACAAAAACUGACGCUCAUGUGCGAAAGCGUGGGGAGCAAACAGGAUUAGAUACCCUGGUAGUCCAUGCUGUAAACAAUGUCGAUUUGGAGGUUGUGGUCUUGAACUAUGGCUUCCGUAGCUAACGCGUUAAAUCGACCGCCUGGGGAGUACGGCCGCAAGGUUAAAACUCAAAUGAAUUGACGGGGGCCCGCACAAGCGGUGGAGCAUGUGGUUUAAUUCGAUGCAACGCGAAGAACCUUACCUACUCUUGACAUCCAAAGUACUGAAUAGAAAUGUUCGGGUGCCUUCGGGAACUUUGAGACAGGUGCUGCAUGGCUGUCGUCAGCUCGUGUUGAGAAAUGUUGGGUUAAG